UAACUAAUAAAAACAUUUUUUUACUAAUCAACUCCUAUGAAGUUGGAUAAUAUAAAAAAUAAUGAGCAUAUAAUUAAAUUUUCUACAUUAAGUUAAUCAAUAUACUUACAACUAUAAAAAUAACCAUUUCCUGCUGCACUUUAUUGUUGACUCCAAACCAUAACAGUGUGAGGUUCCAAAAACAGUUCCAUCUAGAAACCUACCUACUCAUAAUGUUGGUAGUACUAUUGCUAGUAUCCCUCCUGGGAUUCGUCGCGCAAGAAGCAACAGGCACGCCAGUAGUUCACCCAAUCUGGAUAGGAGAUAGAGAAGCUCCUUAUGAAGUACGCAUUAGUCCGAUUGGCAGACAAGGAUACCCUGAUGGUAUCGACAAAAAUCCCAAUAACGUUUUGCCCUUUUAAUACCCUUCUGACUGCUCUGAAUACUGAUAGACUUCUUAAAACUUGUAACAUACAAGUUUUAAAAAUAUAGUAAUAAAGUUGAAAACUAAAACCCGA